ACAUGGGGAAGGGAGGGGCAGGGCAGCAGGAGAGAACGAAAGGAGUCGUGGCUGAGUGCUGCCUCCAGGAUUUGCCAUUCAGAAAUCCACCCCCAUCUCUGCAACGCCGGCGCUUCCACUCCAAGUACAAAGUUGCUUGCAUCCAUUCCUUUCUGUGUGCAGACUGCAGAAUUUCAUGUGAAUGCAGACACCCUCUUGCAGGCUUCCGAGGGAGGGUCCCUGUUCUGCCCUUGGAGGGAGAUGAUCUUCUCCGUUCCUGACCCGGCUUUGGACAUUUCAAACCAGCCUGCUGUUCUCAUUCAGGGGCCUGGGAAGACUCAUUUUUUUUCCCCCCAGCUGUCCUUACUGGACAGCUUGACUCAGAUGGAACUCUGAGCAUCGCAUGAUGGAUGGCUGGCAGAUGAUCAAGAUGUCCCCGUGCCUGCCUCCCAGAACCUUGGCCAGGGAGAGCGCUAAUGGAUAGAAGUUUCUCCGAGUCACUGGGAGACGGAUAACAUUUGUCACUUGAAGCUUGGUCUGCUUCUGCCACUCACCAGCUACGUGGCCUUGGGGCAGUCGCCUGUCUCUCUGCCUCAGUGUCCUCAGCUGUGAAAUGGGGGGAAACCAGGUCAACCUUGCAACGUUGUGGAGAGAAGGCCCCAGACUGAGGGCAGAGGUUCAAGAACAAGCAGUUGCUAUAUAUGACCCUGCUCUGAGAAGCACAUGAAAAGGACGAGGAUAUCGAAGCAGUCUGUUGGGCUGCAGAAUGAGCCAGCUGCCAAGACACGUGUCUUAGUGUGGACUACACCCUGGCCCUGCCAGGCUGUCCUGUGAAUGCGGCUCCAUCAUUUUACCACAUGAGUAGAUGCUCCAUGAAUAUCGGGUGAAGAAUGAAAAAGCCACCUCUACACACACGCAAUGUGUACGCACGAUCUCAUCAGGAUCAGAUCCUUGCCCCAUCUUGGGGAUGAGGAAACAGUCUCACUCGUGAAAAGCCAUUCUCUCAAGGUCACACUGCUAAGUGGCAGAGCCUGGAUUUGAACACUGGUGGGUCAUAUCUGAACCUCACGCUUUUCCCUUCCACAACAUCCUACACCUUCCAGGUAGAAAGGUGAGUGGAAACCUCAACGGGUUGAACUCCUAUCUAUAUGUCUAUAUAUUUCAAUAUCCACUGAGACAUAAUGAACAAAAAAAGUGAGGUCCAAGUCAAGGAGAGACAUGGGAUUCACCGGCAUUCAACAUAAUUACACAGCAAAAAUAAUUCCCAUGUCUGAGUCUGGGCAGAGCCUGGGCAACCAGUAGCUGCAGGAAACUCGACGCACACUUAAUGACGCCAUGAAUCAUCCCCCGAGAUGUGCUGUCACCCCCAUUCUUCAUCUGCACCCUGAAAUUCAAGAGGAAAUUAAAAAUGUAUGGAUGUUCUAAUAUUGGCGAGGCCCAGGGUGGGAAACCAGAUGUGCUUUUAAGAUGACCUGAAGGUUUUGUGACCAAGGCCAACACAACAAUGGAUAAUCUGUAAUAAACGUUGAUAUGGUGCCUGAGACUGUGCAUGAUGUGGUAGGAAUGUGAGACAUUUAUUAAGCGCCUAUAGGGUGCAGCUGAAUUCUACAUAAUCACUGCUGUGUAUUGUGCCUUUAGGCUUUGUAGACACACCUUGAUUUUAUCUUCACAAUAGUCCUCUAUUAUAAUCCAAUAUUGUAAUCUUCCUGUUUCACAAAUGAGGCUCAGAAGGACACGUAAUUUGCUGUGUAAUCAAUGGGAGAACAUGGAUUUAAGCCAAGGAGUCCAGCUCUGGGAUCCAUGCCCCCUAACUGCUCUGCUCUCCUGCCCUUUACUGUCCUAUUUUACAAAUGAGGAAACCGAGGCUUUGGAGAGGCACAUGGGCUUGCUGAGGCUCUCCUCUGGGUCUGACCAUAUAUGAUGCCAGCCUGAGCUCCAGGGAGCAGAAGAUGUGCUGCCUUCCCCUCCUGGAGAGCACACAGUAGGAGUGGAGACUGAAUAAACCCAUGAAGAAGGGUCAGUCAGGCAAAAAGUUCUGGGUAAACUGAGCCUCAGACUAAGUGCAGCAGGAGGUUGGCAAGGGAGACAGGUACCAGAGCCUGAGCACUUGGCCUUUCUGGAGGGGCUGAGUGAGGCUUUUGGAAGGGGGGUAGGGUUUGGGCAGGGAUGUCGAAGAAGACACCCCAAGCACCAGGAGGAGAUCCCCAUUCCUCCCCGCCCAACCCCCUGCCAGUUAUGAGCUUAUUCAAUCUCCAAACCCUUGGCAAGCAAGGGCUGAUCAUCUAAAUCUCAUAGGCAAGAAAACCAAGGCUGAGAAAGGCCAUUCAUCUGGAAGACUUGAAGUAAGGGGGAAGCCAUGGGGUGGGAUAACCAAAGAAGCAUGUUCAACUACAGUGAGCCUGGUUACUGUUGGCCAGAAGGUACAAAGACUUGAGUCAGGAAACAGACUCUGUAAAUAUAUUAUUGAUAAUAUAACGGUUUUUAUGAGACAAAAUAACUCCCAAGUCUUCCUUGCUGUUUGCUCUGAUCUUAAGUGGGUGCUGAGUCCUUGACACCUGGGCAAAACCAAUCCAAUGAACCACCCUCAGUAGACACCUGUCCACCUACCUUCUGUGCAUCAGCAGACUUUUCCAUUGCCUCACUCAUACAUUCUGCUGGAUCCUAGGUCCUAGGUACUGGGUCCUAGGUCCUAGGUACUAGGACCAGUAGUUUUUGAAUGCAGUUGCCCAUCAAAAGCACCCUGGAAACUCUACUAAACACACACACACAUUUCAGUGUGAUGAAGGGGAGGUGAGGGGACCAUUCUAGUAUCAGAGGGAAUAAAGGUUAACCAAAGAUGUGAAUAAAAGAGGGAAAACUGUGUGGGAAGAGAGGGGGUACACGGGUACUUUCUGCUUAAUUUUUCUGUAAUCCUUC